UGGGGAAUUUUGGACAAUGGGCGAAAGCCUGAUCCAGCCAUGCCGCGUGAGUGAAGAAGGCCUUCGGGUUGUAAAGCUCUUUUAGUCGGAAAGAAAGAGUUGCAAUGAAUAAUUGUGAUUUAUGACGGUACCGACAGAAAAAGCACCGGCUAACUACGUGCCAGCAGCCGCGGUAAUACGUAGGGUGCGAGCGUUAAUCGGAAUUACUGGGCGUAAAGGGUGCGCAGGCGGUCUUGCAAGUCUGAUGUGAAAGCCCCGGGCUUAACCUGGGAAUUGCGUUUGAAACUACAAGGCUAGAGUGCAGCAGAGGGGAGUGGAAUUUCAUGUGUAGCAGUGAAAUGCGUAGAGAUGUGGAAGAACACCGAUGGCGAAGGCAGCUCCCUGGGUUGACACUGACGCUCAUGCACGAAAGCGUGGGGAGCAAACA
rnacentral:rRNA from 1 species